GAUGAACGCUGGCGGCGUGCCUAAUACAUGCAAGUCGAGCGAACAGACGAGGAGCUUGCUCUUCUGAUGUUAGCGGCGGACGGGUGAGUAACACGUGGAUAACCUACCUAUAAGACUGGGAUAACUUCGGGAAACCGGAGCUAAUACCGGAUAACAUGUUGAACCGCAUGGUUCAACAGUGAAAGACGGUCUUGCUGUCACUUAUAGAUGGAUCCGCGCCGCAUUAGCUAGUUGGUAAGGUAACGGCUUACCAAGGCAACGAUGCGUAGCCGACCUGAGAGGGUGAUCGGCCACACUGGAACUGAGACACGGUCCAGACUCCUACGGGAGGCAGCAGUAGGGAAUCUUCCGCAAUGGGCGAAAGCCUGACGGAGCAACGCCGCGUGAGUGAAGAAGGUCUUCGGAUCGUAAAACUCUGUUAUUAGGGAAGAACAAAUGUGUAAGUAACUAUGCACGUCUUGACGGUACCUAAUCAGAAAGCCACGGCUAACUACGUG
rnacentral:rRNA from 1 species